GUCUACGUAGCUUAAACCCACUUAAAGCAAGACACUGAAAAUGCCAAGAUGGGCUCACACACCCCGUAGACA
rnacentral:tRNA from 1 species